CAGCCGCCGCGGUAAUACAGAGGGUGCGAGCGUUAAUCGGAUUUACUGGGCGUAAAGCGUGCGUAGGCGGCUUUUUAAGUCGGAUGUGAAAUCCCUGAGCUUAACUUAGGAAUUGCAUUCGAUACUGGGAAGCUAGAGUAUGGGAGAGGAUGGUAGAAUUCCAGAUGUAGCGGUGAAAUGCGUAGAGAUCUGGAGGAAUACCGAUGGCGAAGGCAGCCAUCUGGCCUAAUACUGACGCUGAGGUACGAAAGCAUGGGGAGCAAACAGGAUUAGAUACCCCUGUAGUCCCUGUCUCUUAUAC
rnacentral:rRNA from 1 species